AUGACUAGGGAUAACCUUAGGAAGAGACACAUCAUCAAACCCCUUGAUUCUGUUUACUUCUUGGAACAAGAGUCUUGUUCUCACCUAUUUUUUGAAUGUAUAGUUGCUAAACAUCUCUGGGCCCACAUUGAGGAAUAUUUCUCUAGUCAGAUUGGCUCAUCCUUUGAAUCUGUCGCCAGAUUCUGGAUUGCUACCAAAAAGUGCUCAGUUUUAAACACUGUUAGCUCAGCUGUCCUUUGGUGCCUCUGGAAAUAUAGAAAUGCUAUGAUUUUCAGUAACACCUCCUGGAUUUCCAUUCCGCAGGUCUUGAGGUUGAUCAGGAACAUGGUGAGGAACUGGGCGAUUCUCUCCUCCGGAUCGGACAAGGACAAGUUGACGAGCUUCGUGGAAACCCAAACAAGAUCCCUCCAGAAACCGUUGGCGAUCACUUGUGGCUGA
rnacentral:rRNA from 1 species